CGGGGAAUUAGGGUUCGAUUCCGGAGAGGGAGCCUGAGAAACGGCUACCACAUCUAAGGAAGGCAGCAGGCGCGCAAAUUACCCAAUCCUGACUCAGGGAGGUAGUGACAAGAAAUAACAACGCUGGAAAUUUGAUUUCUAGUGAUUGGAAUGAUGGGAAUUCAAACCCCUUUCAGAGUAACAAUUGGAGGGCAAGUCUGGUGCCAGCAGCCGCGGUAAUUCCAGCUCCAAUAGCGUAUAUUAAAGUUGUUGCAGUUAAAAAGCUCGUAGUUGGAUUUCUGCUGGAAGCAGCCAGUCUGCCUCUAUUUUGGAGGUGUGCACAUGGUGAAUUCUAGCAUUUGUUCCUAGGUCGGGGGGAUGUUAUUUUUAAAAUAAUAACAUCGUUCCACUUUGGACUGUUACUUUGAGAAAAUUAGAGUGUUUCAAGCAGGCUUUUGUGGCCUUGAAUACUGCAGCAUGGAAUAACAAUAUAGGAUUUCGGUUCUAUUUUUUUGUUGGUUUCUAGGACUGAAGUGAUGAUUAAUAGGGACAGUUGGGGGCAUUCGUAUUUAACUGUCAGAGGUGAAAUUCUU
rnacentral:rRNA from 1 species